rnacentral:rRNA from 1 species
CUUGAGCCGUGGCUUUCGGAGCUAACGCGUUAAGUAGACCGCCUGGGGAGUACGGUCGCAAGAUUAAAACUCAAAUGAAUUGACGGGGGCCCGCACAAGCGGUGGAGCAUGUGGUUUAAUUCGAUGCAACGCGAAGAACCUUACCUACUCUUGACAUCCAGAGAACUUUCCAGAGAUGGAUUGGUGCCUUCGGGAACUCUGAGACAGGUGCUGCAUGGCUGUCGUCAGCUCGUGUCGUGA